UGGGGAAUUUUGGACAAUGGGCGAAAGCCUGAUCCAGCAAUGCCGCGUGUGUGAAGAAGGCCUUCGGGUUGUAAAGCACUUUUGUCCGGAAAGAAAUCCUUGGCUCUAAUACAGUCGGGGGAUGACGGUACCGGAAGAAUAAGCACCGGCUAACUACGUGCCAGCAGCCGCGGUAAUACGUAGGGUGCAAGCGUUAAUCGGAAUUACUGGGCGUAAAGCGUGCGCAGGCGGUUUGCUAAGACCGAUGUGAAAUCCCCGGGCUCAACCUGGGAACUGCAUUGGUGACUGGCAGGCUAGAGUAUGGCAGAGGGGGGUAGAAUUCCACGUGUAGCAGUGAAAUGCGUAGAGAUGUGGAGGAAUACCGAUGGCGAAGGCAGCCCCCUGGGCCAAUACUGACGCUCAUGCACGAAAGCGUGGGGAGCAAACAGGAUUCAGAUACCCUGGUAGUCCACGCCCUAAACGAUGUCAACUAGUUGUUGGGAUUCAUUUCCUUAGUAACGUAGCUAACGCGUGAAGUUGACCGCCUGGGGAGUACGGUCGCAAGAUU
rnacentral:rRNA from 1 species